UACGGAGGAUCCAAGCGUUAUCCGGAAUCAUUGGGUUUAAAGGGUCCGUAGGCGGUUUUGUAAGUCAGUGGUGAAAGCCCAUCGCUCAACGGUGGAACGGCCAUUGAUACUGCAAGACUUGAAUUAUUAGGAAGUAAACUAGAAUAUGUAGGUGUAGCGGUGAAAUGCUUAAGAGAUUACAUGGAAUACCAAUUGACGAAG
rnacentral:rRNA from 1 species